GAAACAGAGGGGGAGACAUCGUGUUUUGAAAUUUAAGAAGACGACUCUUUUUUUUCCAGGCUAGAGGAAGCUGAUUAUGCCGUCUGGAGCGGGAGUUCUUGAACUUCUUUGUGAUAGAGGUUGUGAGAUGCCUGGCUAAUGAAGGUAUUAUAAGUGCAUUUCGAAUCAUGACUUGAACAAAGGAGUCUCUGGGAAUCAGAUUUAUGGGGUGAAAACACCAGUAAAGAGCUUUCUUCACCCGUUAAGGAACUCAUAUAGACGUAAUGUAAAUAAGUUUCUGUAUAUUUUUUGGAAGAUGGUGUUGAGGGUAAAACGUCGGAUGAUUUUACAAGAUGUAUGGCAAAAAUUAACAAAAUGAACCAUGGUGAUGUCAGUGCUGAUGAUUUAGAGACAGACCAAGACUAUGCAGGAUCCAGAGAUUCAGAACAUUCUAUCCGAUGUAGUCAUGACACAGGUUAACACGCACCAUAUACGAUGGAUCUGACAAGGUCAUAGGCAGGCCUUGCGACGAAGAUCAGUAUUUUUAAGGAUUGUGCUCAUCCAAAUAAGAAAUAAAGGAUGCAAUUAAAUAGAGAUUUAGGUCUCGAACCUCGCCAGAUUAAUUCUGGUUUCAUAGCAGAAGGACCCAGAUGAAGGGUUCAAGUAGAUUAAAGGUGCUUCCUUUGAGCUGUUCAAGGAAAUUCCCAUUAGAGUUUCCGGUUUCAUAGUACUUGGUAUAUGCACCCAUAUAAAAGUGCACUUCUUUUGUAAUGGUAGAGCGCCCAAACCUAUCACAAGGUUUGCGAAGGUUCAUGGUUCAAAUCCAUUUGAGUUUUCAUGUUAUGUGUUUUUAAUAUGGAUAGUGUUAUAGAUGGACGAUUCAAGUUGCAUGUGGUGUGCAAACUGGUGCACCUUGUCUUGUCUUUGGAUUUUUUGGAUGUUUGUACACCAAUGUGAACUAAUUUUUUUUUAAAAUGAGAA